rnacentral:rRNA from 1 species
CAGCAGCCGCGGUAAUACGGAGGGUGCAAGCGUUAAUCGGAAUUACUGGGCGUAAAGCGCACGCAGGCGGUCUGACAGGUCAGAUGUGAAAUCCCCGGGCUUAACCUGGGAACUGCAUUUGAAACUGUCAGGCUGGAGUCUUGUAGAGGGGGGUGGAAUUCCAGGUGUAGCGGUGAAAUGCGUAGAGAUCUGGAGGAAUACCGGUGGCGAAGGCGGCCCCCUGGACAAAGACUGACGCUCAGGUGCGAAAGCGUGGGGAGCAAACAGGAUUAGAUACCCCUGUAGUCCCUGUCUCUUAUAC